CCUACGGGUGGCUGCAGUGAGGAAUAUUGGUCAAUGGUCGAGAGUCUGAACCAGCCAAGUAGCGUGAAGGAGGACUGCCCUAUGGGUUGUAAACCUCUUUUAUAUGGGAAUAAAACAGGGUAUGCAUACCCUCUUGUAUGUACCAUACGAAUAAGGAUCGGCUAACUCCGUGCCAGCAGCCGCGGUAAUACGGAGGAUUCGAGCGUUAUCCGGAUUUAUUGGGUUUAAAGGGAGCGGAGGUGGAUUGUUAAGUCAGGUGUGAAAGGUUGCGGCUCAACCGUAAGAUUGCAGUUGAAACUGGCAGUCUGGAGUACAGGAGAGGUGAGCGGAAUGCGUGGUGUAGCGGUGAAAUGCUUAGAUAUCGCGAAGAACUCCGAUUGCGAAGGCAGCUUACUGGACUGCAACUGACGCUGAGGCACGAAAGUGUGGGUAUCGAACAGGAUUAGAUACCCGGGUAGUC
rnacentral:rRNA from 1 species